AUGACCCCAUGGCGACGGUACUGGUUUCUGAGCGAUGCGAUGGACAACUCCUCGCCGAGAUACGACAUGAGGUCUACUCGGUUGCCAUGUCAGUUGCAUGGCGCGAUGGGCAGUGCCAUGGCGGUGAACAAGCAUAUGUCUAUUGGAGUUAUAUCUUCAAGAUUAAUUGAGAGACCUAAUGAAGGGCAAGGUGGUGGUGAUGGAUCAAGGUGCAGCCUAGCCGCGCAUCGAUCUCUGUGGUCUUGCCCCGACGCCUUGCACGAUGAACUUGCACGUUGUAUGGAGGGGCUGGCUUUAGCCCACCAAUGGACGGAGCUUUCGAUCAUCCUUGAUGUUUAUGAGGUGAAGAGGCUUUUGGGUGAAAGAGAGUGUGUGGUUACUCAUAUCCCUAGAGGGCAAAAUAAUGUGUGGCUCUGA
rnacentral:rRNA from 1 species